AAAGAGAUGGUGGACCCCCGCGUCCCCGUCCCCAACCCUUUGUUGACCAAACCACUUUUGCCUCGGGGGCAGAGCGGCCUCCGCCGCCCCCGGUGGACCAACCAACCCUGUCUCUGUACGUCGGAGUCUUUGAUAAAUAAAUGA
rnacentral:misc_RNA from 1 species